rnacentral:rRNA from 1 species
AAUAUUGCGCAAUGGAGGAAACUCUGACGCAGCGACGCCGCGUGAGCGAUGAAGGUCUUCGGAUCGUAAAGCUCUGUCCUUGGGGAAGAAGGUCUUCGGACUUGACGGUACCCAUGGAGGAAGCCCCGGCUAACUACGUGCCAGCAGCCGCGGUAAUACGUAGGGGGCAAGCGUUGUCCGGAAUUAUUGGGCGUAAAGGGUGCGUAGGCGGCCUUUUAAGUCAGAUGUGAAAGGCUACGGCUUAACCGUAGUUAGCAUUUGAAACUAAAAGGCUUGAGUGCAGGAGAGGAGAGUGGAAUUCCUAGUGUAGCGGUGAAAUGCGUAGAUAUUAGGAGGAACAUCAGUGGCGAAGGCGACUUUCUGGACUGUAACUGACGCUGAGGUACGAAAGCGUGGGUAGCGAAC